ACGNGGAAGCAACCUCCUGGAUGCUGCAAGC
rnacentral:piRNA from 1 species